GCACGGGCUACAGAGCCAAUUAGGCUGGGAUGGCGGAGUACUAAGAAGAGGGACUGGAGUUUCUAAGCAAACAUGAGUUUUGGUGACGUUGGUACCUAUCACUGGAGGGAUCGCACCUUCGUAUCAGGAGAAAAGUAGAGAGGUGAAGUUACUACGUGAAGAAUUUGGCCAGAUUUCCAGCUCCUGCAUCCAUUAGCACAAGCAUUUCAUUCCAAGAAGCUGUCACCUGUCCAUACAUCCUAGAUGAAAUACCAGCAUCAUAUUAAGGGUAAUUAAAUUUUAUUUUCAAUAUCUUUUCUGAUUGCAUAAAUAAUUAUUUUUACUCCACAUCAAUUCCUUUUGUGUUUUGUUUUUUUCUUUCUCGCAUGGUGUUGGUUUUCAUCAAAACUCAUCUGUACGGUUGAGAAUUCCAACUAACUUGUCAGUAUCCAGCCUGGAAUGAAAGGUAAAAAUCAUAUGCCAAGGGCUUAUAGUUCACUUGCUUUCAGCUAAAGUGAGGUGAUGAGAAUAAUGUC